GUUAAUCCAAAGCCAGGAUCCAACCUGAGGUGCACCGAUUGCCAGGGUGAUGAACUAUAGUUGUGUGCAGACGCCUCUGAAGCACUUCAGGCAAAUUAGAUCCGAUGUGAAUUGCCUUUCUUCCUCAGUUGGCCUCGUCCCCACCCUGUAGACGUGUCCCACCCUGACUGAUCCGCUAUAUAAGGAGGUGUUGCUGUUGAUCAGAACAGACGUCUUUGUGCCAACCCCACCAUGAGACUCACCGCCUUCCUGCUUCUGCUGUGCCUGUGCUCUGCACUAAUGACUUCUAAAUGUGCUCUUGCAGGUGGAGGUGAGGAAGACAAAAUUGAUUUCAAUGAUAUAGAUCAUCUACAAAAGUCUGAAGAUAACAUCGACCUGAACCAAAUAAUGUCCAUGGAAUCAGCAUCUGGACGAAGACACACUUUGAUAUUGAAUUCUUGAACUUCAAUAAGUCGCCUAAAAUGACCCUCCCAGACCAAUCAUUU